GACGAACGCUGGCGGCGUGCUUAACACAUGCAAGUCGAACGGAAAGGCCCUGCUUUUGUGGGGUGCUCGAGUGGCGAACGGGUGAGUAACACGUGAGUAACCUGCCCUUGACUUUGGGAUAACUUCAGGAAACUGGGGCUAAUACCGGAUAGGAGCUCCUGCUGCAUGGUGGGGGUUGGAAAGUUUCGGCGGUUGGGGAUGGACUCGCGGCUUAUCAGCUUGUUGGUUGGGUAGUGGCUUACCAAGGCUUUGACGGGUAGCCGGCCUGAGAGGGUGACCGGCCACAUUGGGACUGAGAUACGGACCAGAAUGCUACGGGAGGCAGCAGUGGGGAAUAUUGCACAAUGGGCGGAAGCCUGAGGAAGCAACGCCGCGUGCGGGAUGACGGCCUUCGGGUUGUAAACCGCUUUCGCCUGUGACGAAGCGUGAGUGACGGUAAUGGGUAAAGAAGCACCGGCUAACUACGUG
rnacentral:rRNA from 1 species